rnacentral:rRNA from 1 species
GGACGAACGCUGGCGGCGUGCCUAAUACAUGCAAGUCGAGCGGACGAAUCGAAAGCUUGCUUUUGAUUCGUUAGCGGCGGACGGGUGAGUAACACGUGGGCAACCUGCCCUGUAGACGGGGAUAACACCGAGAAAUCGGUGCUAAUACCGGAUAACACGAAAUGUCGCAUGACGUUUCGUUGAAAGACGGCGCAAGCUGUCGCUACAGGAUGGGCCCGCGGCGCAUUAGCUAGUUGGUGAGGUAACGGCUCACCAAGGCGACGAUGCGUAGCCGACCUGAGAGGGUGAUCGGCCACACUGGGACUGAGACACGGCCCAGACUCCUACGGGAGGCAGCAGUAGGGAAUCUUCCGCAAUGGACGAAAGUCUGACGGAGCAACGCCGCGUGAGCGAAGAAGGCCUUCGGGUCGUAAAGCUCUGUUGUUAGGGAAGAACAAGUAACGCAGUAACUGGCGUUACCGUGACGGUACCUAACGAGAAAGCCACGGCUAACUACGUG